CCUACGGGUGGCAGCAGUGAGGAAUAUUGGUCAAUGGGCGGAAGCCUGAACCAGCCAAGUAGCGUGCAGGAUGACGGCCCCACGGGUUGUAAACUGCUUUUAUCCAGGAAUAACCCCCCUUACGUGUGGGUCUUUGCAUGUACCUUAUGAAUAAGGACCGGCUAAUUCCGUGCCAGCAGCCGCGGUAAUACGGAAGGUCCGGGCUUUAUCCGGAUUUAUUUGGUUUAAAGGGUGCGUAGGCCGCAUGUCAAGCGUGCUGUGAAAUUUCCGGGCUCAACCCGGUCCUUGCAGGGCGAACUGGCGGGCUUGAGUCCGCGGAAAGCAGGCGGAAUUCGUGGUGUAGCGGUGAAAUGCUUAGAUAUGACGAAGAACCCCGAUUGCGAAGGCAGCUUGCUGCAGCGGAACUGACGCUGAUGCUCGAAAGCGCGGGUAUCGAACAGGAUUAGAUACCCCAGUAGUC
rnacentral:rRNA from 1 species